GGACUACCAGGGUAUCUAAUCCUGUUUGCUACCCACGCUUUCGUGUCUCAGCGUCAGCAAUGGUCCAGAAAGCCGUCUACACCACAGGUGUUCCUCCUGAUAUCUACGCAUUUCACCGCUACACCAGGAAUUCCGCUUUCCUCUCCCACGCUCGAGCACCCCAGUUUUCGGCGCACCCUCCCAGUUGAGCCGGGAGAUUUCACACCAAACUUAGAGCACCGCCUACACACUCUUUACGCCCAGUAAUUCCGAACAACGCUCGCUGCCUACGUAUUACCGCGGCGGCUGGCAC
rnacentral:rRNA from 1 species